rnacentral:rRNA from 1 species
GCUUAGCCAUAAACCAAGGUAGUACGAACACAACACUACCCGCCAGAGAACUACAAGUGAAAAACUUAAAACUCCAAGGACUUGGCGGUGCCCCACAUCAACCUAGAGGAGCCUGUCCUAUAAUCGAUAAUCCACGCUUCACCCAACCAUCUUUUGCCCUCAGCCUAUAUACCGCCGUCGUCAACCUACCCUAUGAAAGAAGCAAAGUGGGUAAAACAGUUAUUAACUAACACGUCAGGUCAAGGUGUAGCACAUAAGAUGGAAGAGAUGGGCUACAUUUUCUACCACAGAAAACACGAACAGAUCAAUGAAACUUGAACUAAAAGGCGGAUUUAGAAGUCAGACAAGCCAGCAUUCUUGUCUUAAACUAGCUCUGGGGCGCGCACACACCGCCCGUCAC